GAUGAACGCUGGCGGCGUGCUUAACACAUGCAAGUCGAGCGGAGGUUACACUUCGGUGUAACCUUAGCGGCGGACGGGUGAGUAACGCGUGGGUGACCUGCCUUAUACAGGGGGAUAACAGUGAGAAAUCACUGCUAAUACCGCAUAAGACCACAGUGCUGCAUGGCACAGAGGUAAAAGGAGCAAUCCAGUAUAAGAUGGACCCGCGUCUGAUUAGCUAGUUGGAGAGGUAACGGCUCACCAAGGCGACGAUCAGUAGCCGACCUGAGAGGGUGAUCGGCCACAUUGGGACUGAGACACGGCCCAAACUCCUACGGGAGGCAG
rnacentral:rRNA from 1 species